rnacentral:misc_RNA from 1 species
GGAAAGCCGCUGCCCACUGUGCGCUCGUUUUCUCUCUCUUCUCCUUCUCUUGCCGCCGUUUCUAGUGUCUGGCCGUCGCCGGAGAGUCACCGGCGGAGUGAGAAGCUGCUUGGGAGGUCGCCGACCGAUCACCGGAGAAAGAAAGAAGAAGAGAGGGAAGGAGAGGGAGAGAAGAGAAAUGGGGGGGUUUCCUCCCGUUUUUCUUU